CCCCAUUCUUGAUGCUUAAAAUAUGAUGUAUUCACAAAAAUGUAUGUAUAAGGUAGCCAACUGAACUACUGCAGCACGCUAAGCAUGUUGGGGCAUGAAGUAGCACUAAGGCUACUACUGCAGUACGCCAAGAAUGUUGGGGCAUGAAGUAGCACUAAGGCUACUACUGCAGUACGCCAAGAAUGUUGGGGCAUGAAGUAGCACUAAGGCUACUACUGCAGUACGCCAAGAAUGUUGGAGCAUGAAGUAGCACUAAGACUACUACUGCAGCAUGCCAAGCUUGUUGGGGCAUGAAGUAGCACUAAGUCUACUUUCUAGACAACCUUUGGACGGGGCGCGUCCAGUGUAGUGGUGUUGAUAGAUCUCUGUAGUGAUGUUUUAAUGACGGCUAAAGCUGAUCAUAAGAUGUGAUACUUUUACGUCACAAAAACUUUUUUUUUUGUAAUAAAACUGUUGAAGCAAC